UGGGGAAUUUUGCGCAAUGGGGGCAACCCUGACGCAGCAACGCCGCGUGCGGGAUGACGGCCUUCGGGUUGUAAACCGCUUUCAGUAGGGAAGAAUUUUGACGGUACCUACAGAAGAAGCUCCGGCUAAAUACGUGCCAGCAGCCGCGGUAAUACGUAUGGAGCAAGCGUUAUCCGGAUUCAUUGGGCGUAAAGCGCGCGUAGGCGGCCUUUCAAGCAGGAUUUUAAACCUGAGGGCUCAACCCCCAGUCGGAUCCUGAACUGUUAGGCUCGAGUUCGGUAGAGGAAGACGGAAUUCCCAGUGUAGCGGUGAAAUGCGCAGAUAUUGGGAAGAACACCGAUGGCGAAGGCAGUCUUCUGGGCCGUAACUGACGCUGAGGUGCGAAAGCUAGGGGAGCGAACAGG
rnacentral:rRNA from 2 species